rnacentral:rRNA from 1 species
CCUACGGGGGGCAGCAGUGGGGAAUAUUGCACAAUGGGGGAAACCCUGAUGCAGCGACGCCGCGUGAGUGAAGAAGUAAUUCGUUAUGUAAAGCUCUAUCAGCAGGGAAGAAAAUGACGGUACCUGGGUAAGAAGCCCCGGCUAACUACGUGCCAGCAGCCGCGGUAAUACGUAGGGGGCAAGCGUUAUCCGGAUUUACUGGGUGAAAAGGGAGCGUAGACGGCAGUGCAAGUCUGGAGUGAAAGGCGGGGCUCAACCCCCGGACUGCUCUGGAAACUGUACGGCUGGAGUGCAGGAGAGGUAAGUGGAAUUCCUAGGGUAGCGGUGAAAUGCGUAGAUAUUAGGAGGAACACCAGUGGCGAAGGCGGCUUACUGGACUGUAACUGACGUUGAGGCUCGAAAGCGUGGGGAGCAAACAGGAUUAGAUACCCGAGUAGUC